UUAAAUAUAUUUUUCUAGUAUAUUUAUAGGUAUGAGUAUAUUUUACCUUAGAAUUAUUGAUAAAGGUUUGCAUGCUUUUAUUUACUACAUUAUGUAAGCUAAAAAAACAACCUUUUAAAACUUGUGCUUGGGCUAUGUUGUAAAACAUACAGCUUCUUCACAAAAAGUAUUAGUGUUACUCAUAUAAGAUUUAUUUAUACCUAAUACUUAUUAAAUUAGGUAUGUGUGUAAAACUAUUUUUUUACUAGGAUUUCUGAUGCACUGGUUAAAAACACAGCAGCCAAUAAUUCAGUUAAUUUACCAAGUGAUUUACCCUUCAAAGCUACAGGGGUAGCUUUCCUGAAGAGUGCAAAAACUUCUUUAGCUUUCAAAAUGGUAUAUAGUACAAACAGUGAAGCUAAUAUAGACACAUCUGAUCAUUCAUCAUCAACAAUAACUGCAUCUGAGAAUUAUAGUUCUACAGUAACCGUGGAGUCUAGGUCAACAAUUACUAUUUCUCAUCCAAGCCGUUUUUGUUUAACUGCUACACAUUUCCUGACUCUGCCAAGGAAAAGGGUAAAAUCAAAAUGAUAUCCUGAGGACCUAAGCACUGAUGAUUCCACCGUUUCAAGAACUUAAUCACUUGUCACCAGAUUAUGGAAAAAAAAUAAAGAACAAAAAAUUAAAAUUCGAAGAUUGCAACAAGCAAAUUUGCGCCAAAGAAAUUAAAUUAGAUGUCUCAAGUCAUUAUUAAAAUACUUACAUGAAAUAAUAACAUGAUUUUAUGGAAAAGCCCAACAUACUACAUAUUUUAUUUGACUUGUAAAAGCACUUGUUUGUAUAUUACUACUAAUAAACUCUCUAAUCUAAUCUAUUGUACAUAGUCUUUAUUCUUAGCUUUGUUUUUUAGUAUAAAUUAAUAUGAUAUAAUAUUUGGUAUUAGGUAUUAUAUAGGUCACUAUUAAAUGUCUCAAAACCAUUAUACAGGCUAAAUACUCAUAAUAAAAAUCUUAUAACCUACAAAAAACCUGCAACUCCUUCACUAUUUGAACAUCCUUGUAGUUUUAACUUUUUCCGCUGAAGCAAUACUGUCCCUUUGAAAAAGUCAGCAGCAUAGAAGUAUAUAUUAUGUGAUGUAAGUAAGUGAUGUAAAACUGAGUUUUGUCCAAUAUAACAAUAACAAUAAAAUUUUGCAAAAUGUUAAAAAUUUGUGUCUUAAAACAUGAUUUAUUAA
rnacentral:lncRNA from 1 species